rnacentral:rRNA from 1 species
CUCUGGGGAUAACAGGCUGAUACCGCCCAAGAGUUCAUAUCGACGGCGGUGUUUGGCACCUCGAUGUCGGCUCAUCUCAUCCUGGGGCUGAAGCAGGUCCCAAGGGUAUGGCUGUUCGCCAUUUAAAGAGGUACGCGAGCUGGGUUUAGAACGUCGUGAGACAGUUCGGUCCCUAUCUACCGUGGGCGCUGGAAAUUUGAGAGGAUCUGCUCCUAGUACGAGAGGACCAGAGUGGACGAACCUCUGGUGUACCGGUUGUGACGCCAGUCGCAUCGCCGGGUAGCUAUGUUCGGAAGGGAUAACCGCUGAAAGCAUCUAAGCGGGAAGCCUACCUCAAGAUAAGAUUUCCCUAGGACUUUAUGUCCUCUAAAGAGCCGUUCGAGACUAGGACGUUGAUAGGUUGGAUGUGGAAGCAUAGUGAUAUGUGAAGCUGACCAAUACUAAUUGCUCGUGAGGCUUGACUAU